rnacentral:rRNA from 1 species
GACGAACGCUGGCGGCGUGCUUAACACAUGCAAGUCGAACGGAAAGGCCCUGCUUUUGUGGGGUGCUCGAGUGGCGAACGGGUGAGUAACACGUGAGUAACCUGCCCUUGACUUUGGGAUAACUUCAGGAAACUGGGGCUAAUACCGGAUAGGAGCUCCUGCUGCAUGGUGGGGGUUGGAGAGUUUCGGCGGUUGGGGAUGGACUCGCGGCUUAUCAGCUUGUUGGUGGGGUAGUGGCUUACCAAGGCUUUGACGGGUAGCCGGCCUGAGAGGGUGACCGGCCACAUUGGGACUGAGAUACGGCCCAGACUCCUACGGGAGGCAGCAGUGGGGAAUAUUGCACAAUGGGCGGAAGCCUGAUGCAGCAACGCCGCGUGCGGGAUGACGGCCUUCGGGUUGUAAACCGCUUUCGCCUGUGACGAAGCGUGAGUGACGGUAAUGGGUAAAGAAGCACCGGCUAACUACGUGCCAGCAGCCGCGGUGAUACGUAGGGUGCGAGCGUUGUCCGGAUUUAUUGGGCGUAAAGGGCUCGUAGGUGGUUGAUCGCGUCGGAAGUGUAAUCUUGGGGCUUAACCCUGAGCGUGCUUUCGAUACGGGUUGACUUGAGGAAGGUAGGGGAGAAUGGAAUUCCUGGUGGAGCGGUGGAAUGCGCAGAUAUCAGGAGGAACACCAGUGGCGAAGGCGGUUCUCUGGGCCUUUCCUGACGCUGAGGAGCGAAAGCGUGGGGAGCGAACAGGCUUAGAUACCCUGGUAGUCCACGCUGUAAACGGUGGGUACUAGGUGUGGGGUCCAUUCCACGGGUUCCGUGCCGUAGCUAACGCUUUAAGUACCCCGCCUGGGGAGUACGGCCGCAAGGCUAAAACUCAAAGGAAUUGACGGGGCCCCGCACAAGCGGCGGAGCAUGCGGAUUAAUUCGAUGCAACGCGUAGAACCUUACCUGGGUUUGACAUGGAUCGGGAGUGCUCAGAGAUGGGUGUGCCUCUUUUGGGGUCGGUUCACAGGUGGUGCAUGGCUGUCGUCAGCUCGUGUCGUGAGAUGUUGGGUUAAGUCCCACAACGAGCGCAACCCUUGUUCACUGUUGCCAGCAUGUUAUGGUGGGGACUCAGUGGAGACCGCCGGGGUCAACUCGGAGGAAGGUGGGGAUGACGUCAAGUCAUCAUGCCCCUUAUGUCCAGGGCUUCACGCAUGCUACAAUGGCUGGUACAGAGAGUGGCGAGCCUGUGAGGGUGAGCGAAUCUCGGAAAGCCGGUCUCAGUUCGGAUUGGGGUCUGCAACUCGACCUCAUGAAGUCGGAGUCGCUAGUAAUCGCAGAUCAGCAACGCUGCGGUGAAUACGUUCCCGGGGCU